UUUUAUCAUACCCCACCCUGCCUUUACAUGCCUCUACAUGCCAGCAAUCAACGUUCAAGGCCCCUCUAAUUGCUCUCGAUUCUGGUUUUGCUCUUUAUGCUCCAGCCCCAGCGGCUUGAUUGCCUUAGGCAAGAAUGGCGCGUCGCAUCUCUUUUCUUCCGCAUCAACGUUUGUUAGCACGUAUUUGUGACACGGUAUCAGAUAAACAUUUCAUACUCUGUGGACAAUUCUUCUCCGCCCCAAGGCCCACCCGCGAGUCCGUUAUACCGCCUAAACAAUCUUCUAGCCUCCAUUUCCACCCUCUUCACUUCUUACUCAUUACUGCCGACUACGUCUCAGGUAUAUCUUUCAUCCCUGAAUUCAUUUCAUCAGCGGGCGACUUAUCUUCUGGGGCAAUUCAAUGAAACUUCUCCUCAGACGGAAGAGAUCGAAAGAUUAGAGAAGGAAUGGUGGUCAAGUGAAGUAGUGGCGGCUUGGUAUGGGCCCAGAUACAAUCUUGAGCUGAUCAAGGGUGAAAAGAAAAACAGGUCGAAGAAGCAAACUACUCGCCUAGAUUACUAUCAACGAGGCUCUAGUCAAGUGGACGAAGGCAAGGGUCUCAGUUCUCAGCCUCCAUCAUUGUCAAUUAAUCGACGACGUGACUCCAGCUUUGUAGGUUUGCAUGAUGAAUGAAUAAAGUAACUAAACCUGGAAGACGAUAAGGGGCGGAGAGAAAAAAAUUAUAGGAUUGCCAGGGGACGAAUGAAU
rnacentral:sRNA from 1 species